UUGGCCAUCUGUAUGUCUUUGGGGAAGUGUCUAUUAAGAUCUUCUGCCCAUUUUUUAAUCAGAUUGGUUUUGUUUGUUUUGGUGCUGAGUUAUAUAAAUUCUCAUGCACUUUGGAUAUUAAUCCCUUAUCAGAUACAUCAUUUGAUACAUUUUCUCCCGCUCAGUAAGUUGUCUUUUCAUUUUGUUGAUGGUUUCCUUCGUUGUGCAAAUGCUUUUUAUUUUGGUGUAGCCCCAGUAGUUUACUUUUGAUUCUCUAUUCUUUUAGAUUUGUUUCCAAUCCUUUCAGAAGCCCUUAGGAUAAUGUUAGGGAGCAUAAGGUUUAGGACGUUAGUAACUCACAAGGGUUACACUUCUGGCAUCAAAGUAGCAGAGUUUGGGGCUCAGGUUCUCUAGUUCCAAAGUCUGUGUCCCGUUCUCUAUGCCAUGCUUCUUUCUACUUGCAGCUCAUGACUAAUGAAAAUUUCGACCUACCAGUAAAACUUAAAGUUAUCUAGAACUUACCAUUUGAGUCCUCUAUGGGCUGAUCUAGGUUUCUACUCAUAUUUCUAUAGCAUAUUCCUCAUAGGCUGGUAAAACAAAUGCAGUCAGAACAUAUGCUUCCAAUUCUGUCUCCCUCCCUCUGUCCCUGAAAAAAAGAAAAAUCCCAAAUAAACAAAACCCUCAUGGCCAUAUCAUUCAAGGAACUAGCAUUAGAAAUUCAAAGACUUUAUUAAGCUCUAUUUUCUUAGCAUCAAAAUAUCUUGUCUAUAUGAUCAAAACUUUUGCUGAUUCACUAGAAAAAAAUUACCCAAGGCAGCUAUUUGUUAAUCAUCUAAAUAUUUGUCAAGCAGAUGUUGGUGUGUUAAAAGGGUAAACCUAUAAUCUCAAAGACUUUUGUGUCUAUACAGAUUAUUGGUUUUGGUUCUCCAAGUCAAAGCCUUCACCUUGUAGCAAUAUAAAGCCACCCCCCUUUUUUUUCCCUAAAAGUUAAUUUCUCUAAGCAGAUUCUCUCCAGUGGAAGGACAUCUCUUGAGUGGUCACUAUGGAGAUUUGUUUAAUGUGAUCCUUAUUUUUGACUUGGAACCUCUAGUGUGUAUCUAGAUACCUUCUUUUUUUAAUUUGGUAAAAGAAAGAAAUGGUGAGUGGUUGAAAAAAUGAGGAUAUCAGAAAAGCCACCUGUUCUAUUUAAACUUUAAAAAAUGAUACAUUUUUAUGUUUAUUUUUAAAGCCAUGCAAAUGGAAAACACAUGGUCUAAUUUUAUUUAUUCACUAUGGAAAUUUUCAUGAAUAGAGAUUAUGAGCAUAAAGAUAUACAGUGUUGUUCACCUGGACUAAGCUGUGGCCUGAGCUUAUAAAGAAAAUGUUCCACAGCAUCCACCUUCAGCUAUUUGGAGAAUCUGGCUUAUGUUCACAUGGAACAUGGCUUUUCUCUUACCAAGGGGAAUGUGAUGUAACAGCCAAAGAUGCCUGGAAGAGAUUGCUUUCUCUCCUACAAAAGAAUCCUUGAUGGCAUAAUUUCAGGUAUAAUGACACCUAUGGAGGCCUUGCAUUUUAGAAAACGGAGAGAAAUUUACGUGGGGUGACGAACCCCUGACUUUUGAUAUUCACAGGGCACUUUGUUUUUGCCAAGCUCCUAAUUUUAUUCUCGCAAUAGUCUUGUGAAUCAGAUGCUGUUGAUUUUUAUUUUAGAAAUGAAGAAACUGAGGCACAGGGUUUAAGUGAGAUCCACUAAAUUACCCCAGAUGGGAAAUGUAGGAGUUUAGAUUAUAACCUUGCCCUUUGGCACUAGAGCCCACAUUCUUCGCAUUACAACACAUUGCCUUUCUAAGUGCCCUUUCAGCCAGGCUGGCUCAGCAGACCCUCUCAACAGAGGUCCCUCCUCAGCUCUCCUUCUGCUCAUCUGUGUCAGCCAUUCCCUUCAUAAUUCUUCAUUCAUUGUAUAGGAGAAAAGAGAGCAGAUUCCUGUUUUGCAGAUUUUUAGCUAAAACUGCCCUAUCCCCUUUUACAAUUUAGUUUGUUACAGGUGAGAGAACAUGAAUAUGUAUGUACUAAACCUCCAGUGUUCAAUCUAACCAAAACCAUAGUGGAAAUGAGAAAUAAUAAUACCAAGUUACAAUUUCAGUGAACCAUAGAAUCUCAAGAUUGGAAGGAAUCUUAAAUGGUCAGUUUCAGUCUUGGUUAUUUCUGAAGCUAUGCUGUGUCAUAGGUGCCUGGACAAGACUGGUGUUGUUACAGAAGAUUAGGUGCCGCAUAAUCACAGUGAAGAUUAAUUCAGUGUUCCCCAUUUGCACCAGUGUUAUAAGUAAAUUAAUCAUAUAGUCAUAUAUAUAAUCAUCACCCAUUUUACAUAUAUAUGUAUAUGUAUGUGUGUGCAUAUAUAUAUAACUCUAUGAAAUAUUUUUUUAAUUAUUCCAUUUUAGAGAUGAGGAAACUGAGGCAUAGGCUUAUAUAAUCUCCGUAAAUCACAUAUCCAGUAAGCAGUAGCUGGAAUUCGAAUGUAGGAAAUGUGGCUCCAGCACUGCAAAGAUGAUGACUUUGUGAAUGAUGUUGUUUCCAUGAUCUCUUGUAAGUUCUUUUCCUGUUACAUAGGAAAGCUGUUGAUUUUUAUACAUUUACUUUGCUUUUGGGUAACUUAGUGACCGCAGUUAUUAGUUGUAAUAGCUUUUCAGUGAUGCCUUCUGAGUUUUCUAGGUGUGCAAUCAUAGCAUCUACAAAUAAGAACACUGUCUCUUCUUUCAUUCCGAUUGUUAUACCCCAUAUCAGGUUCUUGCUUUAAUAGAUUGGGUAAAUGCAGGUUAUAGUUGUCAUGAUGAAGAUGCCGUGGAAUUUUGGAGACUCGAUAAGCAGCUAAGAAGCUUUUCAGGUAUAAUGUAAUAAUAAUGGUCUGGCCUAAAUAAUGGCGUCGUAAAAUCAAUAUCUAUUAGAGGGGAAUUUUAUAUUAAAAAUUGACUUUAACUUAGGGAUAAGGUCUGGGAAACACUAAAAGGUCUUGAACCUGAAGCAUGCAAAUGUAAUUGAUAAUGAUCAGGAAAUUGACUUUAUUUUAAUGGCUGCUGAAUUCCAGUAAUCUAUUCAUCUGAAACAAAGCAACUAGAAAAAAAAUAAUUGGAACUUUCAGUUUAUAAGCAGUUCUAGUAAUGUGUCUUUAAGAGAAAUUAACAUAUAUAUUGUUUUUACUUUUACAGCCUCUCUGUAGUCCGAUAUUUGCUCUACCUACAAAAUAUAUUGUACAAAGUUAGAAUAAUGCUUAUCUAAUUUAUGAAGUAACUUGAAAAGCAAUAAUAAACUGAUUCAUUUAGCCUUUUAAAACCUUAAGAUGGAUUAUACACUGGUUUUUCAAAUUUAGUCCUCUGCAGAAUCAUUAGGUUAGUUAGCUCUUAAGAGAGGUUGUUACCAGAAGAUCCUUGAUUUUAUUAGUUGGGGGAGUGAAACCUAGAAAUCUACAUCUUUUAGCUAUCAGUCCAGGUAAUUCUGAUACUCUGAGAAACCCCUGGUCUUGGGCUUUACAGUUUGCACCUGCACUUUGAAUUUGUGUGCUGUAUUUGGUACACACAGCCCUGUCACUCACACACCAAAUUUCAACAUCACCGAAUGUUUCUUUGAACACUGCAUGUUGUUAAGUUUUUCCAUAUCGCUGUCCAUAUGGUCUGACUUCUGAGAGUGUCCUGAUUUCCUCCCAGAAUAAUAGCCAAGUUAACCUUCUAACUCUAUUUAGGCUCAGGGGAGUCUUGGUUUUCUUCCUCAGGGUGGUGGGAUCGAGGGUCUGCAUGCCCCUCACAAGGGGAGGAGGCAGCCAAGUGAUCCUUUCUCUAGUGGCACUGAGUGGAAGGAACACAUGUGACACAGUGUUCCUGCACAUAUAUGGAAGCCUCUAGGAGAGUCCCCAGCCUAUGCAAGUCUCCUAUCCUUUGGUGAGCUUUAAACAACCAAAUGAGGAUUAAACAAAAGCAAAAUUUUUAAAAAGCACUUCUAUUACUCCUAUGUAUUUUGCCUAGCCUCAAGGAGGAGGUAGAACAGUGUUUAAUAUGGUCUACUCCGUAAAAAUAAAAAGAAGAUACUAUAUACAUGUGAGUAUAAGGGAAUAAAAAAUGGGAAUGUACAGUGUUUUUAUCUACCUAAAGUAAUUACCAAUAAAGAAAGGGGAGAAAGGGCUAAAAUUACACUACUGCUAAAAUUGAGGAUUUCCAGAGAUGGAUUAAAAACACAGUUGUGAACCAGAAAUACGAUGCUACCAAACACCUUGGCCCUGUUCACAUGAAAGUGGGUACAAAUAUCCUGCCUGUCCAUUGUUCAAAACCCAAGUUGCAUCUCACUGGGAUGAUUGAUUAGCCAGCAUUCUGAGAUAUUUGGAAAGGAAGGAAGACUGGUGGUGUGUCAUAGGAGCUGUAUAUCCCACAAAUAAACUUCAGUUGGGACUGAAACACAAAAGCUCAGUCCCAGGAAGUCAUUGGUGAAUUGAGUCAACUUACUGCCUCUGAUCACAUGAGUACCAGAUUGUUAGGUUUUGGCUCUGGAGGAGCACCUCUCACGCCACAUACUCAGAAUUCGACCAUGGGCUCUGCAUUGCACAUCAUCGUUACAGUUUAUUUAUUGGAGAAUAAAACAAACACAAUAAAUACAGCCUACCACACCAAGCAACCAAGCGACCAACCACCAAAAUACUGCAGAACAAGAGAAAGAAAAUAGUGUCCUUAAGACAGUCCUCCAAGAAGGUAUCCCAAGCUGUGUCAGUCAGUGGCAGUAUCUAUGGGAUAAGUUUAAACUUCCAGGACCAACUGUGACCGAGGCAGCACUCUGAAUGGAGUUUCCAAAAUAUCCUUAUAGAAAUAGUUUCAGCGUAUUAGAAUUUACAUAAUUUGCAAGAUUUUUUACAUUCUCUCUUUUUUUCUGUUGAAAGAAAGGGGGAGCCCCAUCUCUUCUGAUUCCUCCUAGGUGGUCCUGUUGUUCCUUCAUGGGAGCAGAAAGGGUAUAAUUUUUUGCUUCUUUCAAAUCCUAAGUGGAGGUUAGUGCUCUGCCUUUUUUGUCUGCUGCAUUCCCAGGACUGUCUCUUCUACCAUUUGUGUAAGAGCCCAGCAGGGGGCUUUCAUUAUCUUUUAUCUAACUGUGGUCUUCCUUGCUUUCCCCCCUUGUUUCCUUUCUUUCUGCAGGUAUCUUCAUUUUCAUUUCACUGGGAUGUUUCUUUGAAAAAGGAGAAAGUAGUAUGCUCCUUUAAAAGGAUUUCUCAUUCAGAACAUAGAUUAAUAAAUUGAGAGGAAGGAGAUGAAUUGAGAAAGUUACAACUCGAAACACUGCAAUUGUGGGAGAGAAAAAGAGGGAGAGAAUAGUAGAUAGUGUGAAACAAUCUAAAGCAGAACACUGAAAAACCUCUAUUCAGAAAUGCAACAAAUCGGACAUUCCCUUUCGUCUGUCAAUCUCCUAUUCUCAAUUCUUAUAUACCAUCUCUUUUUCCUGAUGCGCAGUCUGAAGUAUUUCCUCUCAUGAAAAGAAUAGAGUUUUUCAAACUCAAGAGCCUAAUUAGGAACAAGGUUUCCCAUCCUUUCAGGAUUGCCUUGUAAGUUCGGCUUCUCUUUCCUGCACUAUUUACAAUGGAGGCAUUUACAAUAAAGGGCAUCACAGUAGGAUACUGCCAUCAUUGGUAGUAUCAAAAUGAGAACAGUGGAGAGAAAAUAGACAUAGGUUCAAGUACUGCAGUGUCCAUUCUUUGUUAAGUGUUUUUGUCUAAUGCAAUAACAAGUAGGCACACACCAUAUUGGAAUGACACCAAGUGGAUUGUGAAACACCUCGACGCUGUCAUUAAAUUGCUACAGCCAUAUGGACUCAGCCUCAGAUUUGGUAUUGGAAAAAGGUUGCUCACUUCCAAAAUUUGACACCACUUUUCCAGGCUGCUUUUGUUUAGCCUUCAGGCAGUAGUACAACGAGAAAUAGAGAUGUCAGAGACGGCUGAGAGAAAGGAAAACUUUUCAUGGGGAGGAUGUAUAGGAUAUUGGUUUUAAUCACAUGCAGCAGCGGUUCUUAAAUGGUAGCAUGUAUAAGAACCACCUGGAGAGCAAGAUUCCUGGACCUUUUAAUCGGAUGUUCUGCGAAAGAGCCCAAUAAUUUACAUUUCCAGUAUACUUCUGGUUGAUGCCAGUGCUUCCAGUAAUUUCCUGGACCACGUUUGGAGCAGCAAGGAUGUAGAGCACAAUGUUUCUAGGGAGGAAAAUUAAAUAGGAAAUUUUGAAAUUAUCCUUAUCUUUCUCUCACACAUAUCCCACUCCCCUGAGCCCUCACACCCUCCGCCACAAUUUCCAAUCACUGGUCUGGUAGCUUCCAGUCACAAAUUACCUCUUUAAUGUACCCCCAUAUAUCCACCCUCCACUUCAAUGCAAACCUUAAUUAUUUUUUGCCCGAGUCUUCGAUAGUAUCUUGACUGAUCCCCCAGCCUCCAGUCUUGUCUCAAUUUAAUCUCGCCUGCGCGUAACUUCCUUUUUAAAAUAAAAUCUCAUCAAACUGUUCCUCUGAUUAAAAUCCAACAAAGGCCUCCAAUUCUGUACAGAGUGAAGUCCAAGCUUCUUAGCAUUGCACAUUAGUCCUUCCUGAUCUCUCCCUCAUCCAUCUGUCCAGUUUUCUCUCAAGCAGUUUGCCAACCCAUCCCCUCAAGCAGUGCUUUAUUUAUCUGACAGCCAUGUUGAGUCACUUGUGGAUUCCUGAACACACAAAGCUAUCGUCUCCCCUCUGAAAUAUCCUUAAUUUUCAGUUGGGAGGAAUUUCCAUUGGUCAUUAAAAAUCCCACUUGGGCAUAACUCCUCUGUGAAAUUUUCCUUGACCCUUCAAGAGCCAGCUCCAUAAAGCCCGCCCUCUUCUGUGGUCACUUAUCAACUUGUAGUAAUUAUUUGCUUAUUUUCUUCUCCUAAACAUUUAGUGUGAUUUCCUUGAAGGCAGGGAGCAAAAUGUGACUUGCGCAGCAUCUUGUACAAUGAUGUUUAUUCAUUUAAGUUGAUUUUAAGAUCAAAUCACAUUUGAAGUUUUCCACUUUUCAGAUAUAGAGAGAAGAGUGGAAAAAUCAAGGAAUUGUGUGACAACCUCUAAAAGAGGGCUACAGAGUGAUAUGAUGGUUUGCUGAAGUGAGACAGUUCAAUCAAAUAGGAUUUCUGUCUUAUUAAGAGGCUUAUGCAGAUCACUGUAAGGACCAGAAACACUUUGAAAGCAGUUAGUGUGUCUGUCUUUGUUUCAAGCCUUAUGCUUUAAGUGCAUUGUUUAAAUACUCAGUAAAAAUAUCGCCAAUUCUAUAUAGAGCAUGCAAAUUGCUAAUACUUGGGUUAUUUUAUUCCAGCUGUGCUGUGCUUUGAAAAACUAUUGGAUAUCCUUUACCCCAUUAAACAUGAAGCCUACAGCAAGUCUGAAGAUUUACAAAGUAUCUAUUUUCCUAUUAACCAAGAGGAAAAAAGAAGCUUUAUCAAGUACAACACAACAGAAUACUUUCCCCCUUCCUCCUCUCCCGUUCUCUGGGUACACCAGCCAGAAUCCAGGCAACCUGGACGUUACAUUCUUACAUCCAAGGCCACGGGCAACUCUUAAAGACUUCAACUUUAAGACAGAAUGUAGGUUAUGAAACCAAACAAUCCUGGCCCUAAGCACUACAUGAAUAGGCCACGGAAAAUUCACUGGAGUGGACAGCAUAGACUUAAGCUGGCAGCGACAGGAGACCCAGACAGCGACCCAAGGCAGGUGGCACUCUGAAAAAUGCUAGUUUCUGAAGUGUGUGACCUGGAGUUUGGUUCUCCAUACGAUUCCAUGGCAAUCUAGGGAAGGGAAGUCUCCCAGUGAACAUGUCAUAUUUUUUGUUUUUCGUAGCUUAAAUUCUCAUAGAUCAGUGAUUCAUGUAUGUGACUCUCUAGCUGGCUUCAGUCUAUUAGAGCACUUUGCUUUCUUCAACAUGGGCUCUGGGCUGAGAAGAGAAGGAAGAGGGGAUUGUGGAGCUGAUGCUGGGCUCUGAUUUCAUGCAAGGCUCAGGUCAAUGGAUGAACAAAUCAUGGUGCGUUACACUAUGGAAUACUACUUGGCAAAGAAAAGGAACAAACUACUGAUACAUGUACAAAUGGAUGAAUCUCAGAUGUGUUCUAACAUCUCUUACAGAUCUGGUAAUGAUCUUCCUCCUCUUUGAGACUCCUACUCCUCUCCUUGGCCCAGGAUGUCAGGAGCCUGUAAGAGAUGGAAUCCUUGGUGCUGUCACUAAACAUCCUGGAGCAAAGCCAAAAGUCACCUACCUCCAGACAUCUUUCUGUAUGAGAGGAAUAUACUCCUAUUUGUUUAAGCUAC